rnacentral:lncRNA from 1 species
ACAUAGGGAGGGAGAAAGGAGGCUCCAGGAAGAAUCGGAAUGAGAACUGAUGAGGACCUGAACUGCAGCAGGAGGAGAGAGAGUGGCGAGGACGUCUCACGUGUGAGGACGUCUCACGUGCUGUCAUGUCAUUUAUUGGCACCACCUUCAACACAACUACUCAAGCCCAGUUGCUGAGCAUCAUCUGGAAUCCUUUCACCUUCCCAUGCACAAUCCUUGAGAUCCGGAGAUGCUACCUCCAAAAGGCAACCAAAAAAUCUAACGACGACUCACUAUCUUCCCAUCUACUGUCCAGUUGUGUAUAUAUGCGUCUAUGGACCAGGUAGUGUGUCAAAGGUAUUUCUUAGCUGUAGGGUUGCAGCAAAAAAGUUUGGAAGCUAUUCAUUGCCCAUUAGGCAAUUAAAGAGUAAAGAUGUGGCCCCUGCCUACAUCUUUAAUCUCAUCUUCUGUCAUCUCCCCCUCUUUGCUCCUUUAGUCCCUGGAAAGUGGUAAGCUCUUUCCUGCCUUGGGGCCUUAGUAUUUGCUGUUAACUCUACCUGGAACAUUCUCCUUAUCUUUCCCAUGGCUGAUUCACUGCCAUCCUUCAAGUCUCAGUUUAAUGUCAUAUCCUCAGAGAGGCCCCCCAUCCAUAUUAUGUAAACCAUGUCUUCUUCCCAUCACUACACGCUAUGGUCUGAAAGUUUGCAUCUCCCCAAAAUUCAUAUAUUGAAACCUAAUCCCCAAUGCAAUAGGAUUAAGAGGCGGGACCUUUAGGAAAUAAUUAGGUCUUGAGGGUAAAGCCCUCAUGAAUGGGAUUAGUGCUUUUAUAUAAUAAAAGAGGCCUGAAGAAGCUUAUUAGCCCCUUCUGCCAUGUGAAGACUCAUAGAAAGUGCCAUCUAUGAGGAAGCAGGCCCUCACCAGACAUCAAUGCUGCUGCCUUGAUCUUGGGCUUCCCAGCCUCCAGAACUGUGAACAAUGAAUUUCUGUUGUUUAUAAGUUACCUAUCUAAGGUAUUUUGUUAUAACAGUCCAAAUGGACUAAGCCCUAAAGGACUUUUUCUAAUGAAUAGCUACAGGUUGAUUUACGAUCAGUUUUUUUAUGAGACUGUAAGCCUUCUGAGGUCAGUAAUGGUGUGUGUAUGUGACUGUACCCUGCAUCUGCAUCCUACUUUUACCUAACAAAAAGAGCCUCACAGAAAGCUUUGGCAAUUAAUGACAGCCUGUAGAGUUCUGUAUUCAUAGAAGCAGUAGGGGUACAUGCUGCAGUGGGUAGAAUUGUGUUCCCCAAAAAGAGAUGCUCAAGCCCUAACCCUGGUAUCUACGAAUGUGAUCUUAUUUGGAAAUAGGGUCUUUGCAGAUAUAAUUAGUUAAGAUCAGGUCAUACUAGAGUAGGAUGGGCCCUUAAUCCAAUAUGACUGGUGUCAUUAUAAGAAGAGGAAGAGAUACACAAGGGCACACACCAGGAGAAUGUCAUGUGACAAUGGAAGCAGAGAUUGGAGAGCUGUGUCUAUAAGCCAAGUAACAUCAAGGAUUGCUGGCAACACCAAAAGCUAAGAGAAAGGCGUGGAACGGACUCCCACCUUGAGCCUUCAGAGACAGCGUGGACCUACUGACACCUUGACUUCAGACUUCUAGCCAGAACUUUGAGAGAAUAAAUUUCUGUUUUUUAAG